GAUGAACGCUGGCGGCGUGCCUAAUACAUGCAAGUCGAGCGAACAGACGAGGAGCUUGCUCCUCUGACGUUAGCUGCGGACGGGUGAGUAACACGUGGAUAACCUACCUAUAAGACUGGGAUAACUUCGGGAAACCGGAGCUAAUACCGGAUAAUAUAUUGAACCGCAUGGUUCAAUAGUGAAAGACGGUUUUGCUGUCACUUAUAGAUUGAUCCGCGCCGCAUUAGCUAGUUGGUAAGGUAACGGCUUACCAAGGCGACGAUGCGUAGCCGACCUGAGAGGGUGAUCGGCCACACUGGAACUGAGACACGGUCCAGACUCCUACGGGAGGCAGCAGUAGGGAAUCUUCCGCAAUGGGCGAAAGCCUGACGGAGCAACGCCGCGUGAGUGAUGAAGGUCUUCGGAUCGUAAAACUCUGUUAUUAGGGAAGAACAAAUGUGUAAGUAACUAUGCACGUCUUGACGGUACCUAAUCAGAAAGCCACGGCUAACUACGUG
rnacentral:rRNA from 1 species